rnacentral:rRNA from 1 species
UACGAAGGGGGCUAGCGUUGCUCGGAUUGACUGGGCGUAAAGGGCUCGUAGGCGGCCAACUAAGUCAGACGUGAAAUCCCCAGGCUUAACCUGGGAACUGCGUCUGAUACUGGAUGGCUUGAAUUCGGGAGAGGGAUGCAGAAUUCCAGGUGUAGCGGUGAAAUGCGUAGAUAUCUGGAGGAAUACCGGUGGCGAAGGCGGCAUCCUGGACCGACAUUGACGCUGAUGAGCGAAAGCUAGGGGAGCAAACGGG